rnacentral:misc_RNA from 1 species
GAUGAAGAACGUAGCGAAAUGCGAUAAGUAGUGUGAAUUGCAGAAUUCAGUGAAUCAUCGAAUCUUUGAACGCACAUUGCGCCCCUUGGUAUUCCAUGGGGCAUGCCUGUUCGAGCGUCAUUUGUACCUUCAAGCCUUGCUUGGUGUUGGGUGUUCGUCUCGCCUCUGCGCGCAGACUCGCCUCAAAACAAUUGGCAGCCGGCGUAUUGAUUUCGGAGCGCAGUACAUCUCGCGCUUUGCACUCAGAACGACGACGUCCAAAAGUACAUUUUUACACUCUUGACCUCGGAUCAGGUAGGGAUACCCGCUGAACUUAAGCAUAUCAAUAAGCGGAGGA